rnacentral:lncRNA from 1 species
ACUAAGACUCUUUCCUUUUGGCGAUUUUUAGACUGCCUCUUAUAUUCAAGAUUUGAAUCCCUCUUUCCUUUUUUUCUUUAUUUUCUUAUUGAUUUUUAUUGUAGGUUUCGGCCUUGAAGAUGGAUUUUCUCUAGCGAGUUAGAGUAGGAACUUGAAGAAGUGUUUGGAUAGGAAACAUGCUUCAUGACCGAUUUUCCUCUUUGAUUCUUCCUCUCUUAAUAUGACUUUC